AGCAUUGCGCAGUGGCAGUAUUGUAGCCAAUGAGGUUUAUCCGAGGCAUGAUUAUUGCUAACUGAAAACUUCCUGAUACCCUGCCAUGACGACUUGAAAUACACUCAGCAUUGGCACUUUCUGGCAGUCUCUACGGGGA
ensembl:snRNA U4 U4 spliceosomal RNA